rnacentral:rRNA from 1 species
ACUUGGAUUUUGUAAGUAGUUGCGAAUGAACACAAAUUUGAUCACUUUGGCAAUCUGUACACAUUGCUGUGUAACAAUUUGUAUACGUUGGCACAGUGCUAUCAAAGCUGCAUGCAAGUGUUUUUUGAAAGGAUACAACAUGGGAUGUGAUAUUCAUGUGUGUGUGCCUGCUUUGUCCACAGCCUGUGCUGUAUGAAUCACAUUUCUUGCAACUGAAAUGCUAAUGGCAUGGUAAAGUUCAUGUGACAUGACACAAGCUUGAGAUUCAUGAUGUGCAAGUACCAUGAGGGAAAUGUGAAAAGGACUUUGGAAAGAAAAUUAAAUAAAGCCUGCAUUUGCUGACAAUGAAAGCAAGUGUGGAUGUUCAUGUAAUUGUUACUGCAUCAAUCAAUGUUCAUCUUGGUUACUGCAUGCUUUAUAUUACAGCUCAAAACAUGAAGUGUGUGUAACAGCUCUGCUUUGAUUUUUCCCACAUGGGAUCAGUUGAAACAUUGUGAGAACACUCUUCAGUUUCCUUAUGUACCCACCAGCUUUGUCCACUCGCGUGUUGGCACACAUGUAAUGAUGAUGUGUUUAUGCAAGAUACUUCUGUGCUCAACAACAUGU